AAAGGAUUAGUUAACAAAAUAACAUUAGCAUGUCAAGCCAAAGUCGCCUAUAGGCACCCUUUU
rnacentral:tRNA from 1 species